UGAAUACGAGACGCUAAGGCGUCGAAGUAGUGUAUGUCAUACUUCCAAGAAAAGCUUGCACUGUCAUAGAUAAAAAACGCCUGUACCAUAACCGACACAGGUGGGUAGGUAGAGUAUACUAAGGGGCGCGAGAUAACUCUCUCUAAGGAACUCGGCAAAAUAACUCCGUAACUUCGGGAGAAGGAGUGCCUUAUUCGUAAGGUUGCAAUAACAAGAUCCAAGCAACUGUUUAUCAAAAACACAGGUCUCCGCUAUGUCGUAAGACGAUGUAUGGGGGCUGACGCCUGCCCAGUGCCAGAAGGUUAAAGAAGUUGGUUAGCAAUUGCGAAGCUGAUAACUGAAGCCCUGGUGAACGGCGGCCGUAACUAUAACGGUCCUAAGGUAGCGAAAUUCCUUGUCGGGUAAGUUCCGACCCGCACGAAAGGCGUAAUGAUUUGGAUACUGUCUCGGAGAGGGGCUCGGUGAAAUAGACUUGUCUGUGAAGAUGCGGACUACCUGCACCAGGACAGAAAGACCCUAUGAAGCUUUACUGUAACUUGAAAUUGAAAUUGGACUUUAUUCGCGCAGCAUAGGUGGGAGGCGUUGAUUAUAAUCUUGCGGGAUUAUUGGAGCCAUCAGUGAGAUACCACUCUAGUAAUGUUAGAUUUCUAACUUUGAAUCAUUAUCUGGUCAAAGAACAGUUUCAGGCGGGCAGUUUGACUGGGGCGGUCGCCUCCUAAACGGUAACGGAGGCGUACAAAGGUUUCCUCUGAACGGUUAGAAAUCGUAUCUAGAGUGUAAAGGCAUAAGGAAGCUUGACUGUGAGACCUACAAGUCGAGCAGGGACGAAAGUCGGUCUUAGUGAUCCGACGGUACUGAGUGGAAAGGCCGUCACUCAACGGAUAAAAGUUACUCUAAGGAUAACAGGCUGAUCUCCCCCAAGAGUUCACAUCGACGGGGAGGUUUGGCACCUUGAUGUCGGCUCAUCGCAUCCUGGGGCGGUAGUACGUCCCAAGGGUUGGGCUGUUCGCCCAUGAAAGCGGUACGCGAGCUGGGUUCAGAACGUCGUGAGACAGUUCGGUCCAUAUCCGGUGUAGGCGUUAGAAUAUUGAGAGGAGCCUUCUUUAGUACGAGAGGACCGAGAAGGACAUACCUCUGGUGUACCAGUUAUCGUGCCAACGGUAAACGCUGGGUAGCUAUGUAUGGAGUGGAUAACCGCUGAAGGCAUCUAAGUGGGAAGCCCACCUCAAGAUAAGUA
rnacentral:rRNA from 1 species